UUUAGGUGGGGCUAAAAAUCAUGGCUCGAUGACGCACUGGAGUCAUCCUUAACAUAACUCCACCCAUCUUCACAAACCUGGUUUUUGAAAACCAAAAUAGAAACCCAGAAUGUCAUCCAAGGUCAUGUUGGCUAGCUCAGUCGGGAGAGCAUCUAACUCAUGCUAACAGGA